rnacentral:lncRNA from 1 species
CUAAAAUUUUGAUUUACCUAAGACAAAAUUUUAAUAAAAAAAAAAUUACACAAAUAUUGAACUAUGCAAGUAGAUCGGACAGCUUAUAGCAGUCACAAGUGCUAUUAUAUUAACUGAUUACAAUGAUGGUAUAAAUUCGAAUGUAGUAUUUAUUUGUGAUAUCUUUAAGUGAUACUAGUAGUUACAAUUAUAUGUAAAAGGCUACUGUGAUACUUACAAGUAGAUGUGAUAGGCUAUUGUGAUACGUAUAAGUAUAUGUGAUAGGUUAAUGUGAUACUUACAAGUAGAUGUGAUAGGCUACUGUGAUACUUACAAGUAGAUGUGAUAGGCUAUUGUGAUACGUACAAGAAUAUGUGAUAGGUUAAUGUGAAACUUACAAAAGGAUGUGAUAGGCUACUUUGAUACUUACAAGUACUUACAAGUAGAUGUGAUAGGCUACUGUGAUACUUACAAGUAGAUGUGAUAGGCUACUGUGAUAUUUACAAGAAGAUGUGAAUGCCUACUGUGAUACUAACAAGUGAGUAGAUUUGAAAGGCUACAGUGAUACUUACAAGAAGAUGUGAUAGGUUACUGUGACACUUUCAUGUAAAUGUGAUAGGUAAAUGUGAUACGUUCCAGUAGAUGUGAUAGGCUGCUGUGAUACUUACAAGUAGAUGUGAUAAGUGACUGUGAUACUUUCAUGUAAAUGUGCAUGAUAGGCUACUGUUAUACUUACAAGGUGCUGUG